UACGUAGGGGGCAAGCGUUGUCCGGAAUCAUUGGGCGUAAAGCGCGUGUAGGCGGCUGAGUAAGUCUGCUCUGAAAGCCCGGGGCUCAACCCCGGGAGGCGGGUGGAUACUGCUCAGCUCGAGUCCGGAAGAGGAGUGUGGAAUUCCUGGUGUAGCGGUGAAAUGCGCAGAUAUCAGGAGGAACACCAAUGGCGAAGGCAGCACUCUGGGACGGUACUGACGCUGAGACGCGAAAGCGUGGGGAGCAAAGCAGG
rnacentral:rRNA from 1 species